AGUGAACGCUGGCGGUAGGCCUAACACAUGCAAGUCGAACGGCAGCACAGUAAGAGCUUGCUCUUACGGGUGGCGAGUGGCGGACGGGUGAGGAAUACAUCGGAAUCUACUUUUUCGUGGGGGAUAACGUAGGGAAACUUACGCUAAUACCGCAUACGACCUACGGGUGAAAGCAGUGGAUCUUCGGACCUUGCGCGAUUGAAUGAGACGAUGUCGGAUUAGCUAGUUGGGGGGGUAAAGGCCCACCAAGGCGACGAUCCGUAGCUGGUCUGAGAGGAUGAUCAGCCACACUGGAACUGAGACACGGUCCAGACUCCUACGGGAGGCAGCAGUGGGGAAUCUUGGACAAUGGGCGCAAGCCUGAUCCAGCCAUGCCGCGUGGGUGAAGAAGGCCUUCGGGUUGUAAAGCCCUUUUGUUGGGAAAGAAAAGCAGCAGGUUAAUCCCCCGCUGUUCUGACGGUACCCAAAGAGUAAGCACCGGCUAACUUCGUG
rnacentral:rRNA from 1 species